GCAAGUCUACGAGAAUUGAGGUGCUUGCACUUCAAGGGCAGUGGCUAACGGUUGAGUAACGGGUAGAUAACUACCUUUUGGAUUGGGAUAAUUCAUGGAAACGUGGACUAAUACCGAAUGUUAUAUUAGUAUCGCAUGAUACCUAGAUUAAAGAGCUUGAAUCGCUAAAAGAUGGGUCUGCGUGACAUUAGUUUGUUGGCGAGGUAACGGCUCACCAAGACUACGAUGUCUAGCUGGUCUGAGAGGAUGAUC
rnacentral:rRNA from 1 species